AUAUACGGCAAGCGGCCAAGCGAAAGCGUUAAGUAUUCCACCUGAGGAGUACGCCGGCAACGGUGAAACUCAAAGGAAUUGACGGGGGCCCGCACAAGCGGAGGAACAUGUGGUUUAAUUCGAUGAUACGCGAGGAACCUUACCCGGGCUUAAAUUGCAGAUGAAUUACGGUGAAAACAGUAAGCCGCAAGGCAUCUGUGAAGGUGCUGCAUGGUUGUCGUCAGCUCGUGCCGUGAGGUGUCGGCUUAAGUGCCAUAACGAGCGCAACCCUCGUUGUCAGUUACUAACAGGUUCCGCUGAGGACUCUGACAAGACUGCCAUCGUAAGAUGUGAGGAAGGUGGGGAGGACGUCAAAUCAGCACGGCCCCUACGUCCGGGGGUACACACGUGUUACAAUGGGGGGUACAGAGGGCCGCUACCACGCGAGUGGAUGCCAAUCCCCAAAACCUCUCUCAGUUCGGACUGGAGUCUGCAACCCGACUCCACGAAGAUGGAUUCGCUAGUAAUCGCGCAUCAGCCACGGCGCGGUGAAAAAGUUCCCGGGCCUCGCACACACCGCCCAAGGGCGAA
rnacentral:rRNA from 1 species